rnacentral:rRNA from 1 species
AUUGAACGCUGGCGGCAUGCUUUACACAUGCAAGUCGAACGGCAGCGCGGGCUUCGGCCUGGCGGCGAGUGGCGAACGGGUGAGUAAUACAUCGGAACGUGCCCAGUGUGGGGGAUAGCUCGGCGAAAGCCGGAUUAAUACCGCAUACGACCUGAGGGUGAAAGCGGGGGAUCUUCGGACCUCGCGCUAUUGGAGCGGCCGAUGGCAGAUUAGCUAGUUGGUGGGGUAAAGGCCUACCAAGGCGACGAUCUGUAGCUGAUCUGAGAGGACGACCAGCCACACUGGGACUGAGACACGGCCCAGACUCCUACGGGAGGCAGCAGUGGGGAAUUUUGGACAAUGGGCGAAAGCCUGAUCCAGCAAUGCCGCGUGUGUGAUGAAGGCCUUCGGGUUGUAAAGCACUUUUGGCGGGAACGAAAAGGACUGUGCCAAUACCACGGUUCGAUGACGGUACCCGCAGAAUAAGCACCGGCUAACUACGU